rnacentral:piRNA from 1 species
UUGGACGUGCUCCAGCGAUACUACCAGAU